rnacentral:rRNA from 1 species
CACGGAUCCAGAGUUUGAUUAUGGCUCAUGAUGAACGCUAGCUACCGGCUUAACACAUGCAAGUCGAGGGGUAACAUGGGAGUAGCUUGCUACUUCUGAUGACCACCGGCGGAUGGGUGAGUAACGCGUAUGCAACUUGCCUCUUAGUGGGGAAUAACCCGGAGAAAUCCGGACUAAUACCGCAUACACUUAGUUAUCCGCAUGGAUGAUUAAGGAAAGAUUUAUUGCUAACAGAUAGGCAUGCGUUCCAUUAGUUAGUUGGUGAGGUAACGGCUCACCAAGGCAUCGAUGGAUAGGGGAGCUGAGAGGCUUAUCCCCACAUUGGGACUGAGACACGGCCCAAACUCCUACGGGAGGCACCAUUGAGGAAUAUUGGUCAAUGGAGGAAACUCUGAACCAGCCAAGUCGCGUGAAGGAUGACUGUCCUAUGGAUUGUAAACUUCUUUAGUAGGCGAGUAAACGUAGGUACGUGUACCUACCUGCAAGUAGCCUAAGAAUAAGUAUCGGCUAACUCCGUGCCAGCAGCCGCGGUAAUACGGAGGAUACGAGCGUUAUCCGGAUUUAUUGGGUUUAAAGGGUGCGUAGGUGGUAGAUUAAGUCAGUGGUGAAAAGCUGUGGCUCAACCAUAGUCUUGCCGUUGAAACUGGUUUGCUUGAGUACAGUUGAUGUAGGCGGAAUGCGUAGUGUAGCGGUGAAAUGCAUAGAUAUUACGCAGAACUCCGAUUGCGAAGGCAGCUUACAAAAGUGUAACUGACACUGAUGCACGAAAGCGUGGGUAUCAAACAGGAUUAGAUACCCUGGUAGUCCACACAGUAAACGAUGAAUACUCGCUGUUUGCGAUAUAUUGUAAGCGGCCAAGCGAAAGCGUUAAGUAUUCCACCUGGGGAGUACGCCGGCAACGGUGAAACUCAAAGGAAUUGACGGGGGCCCGCACAAGCGGAGGAACAUGUGGUUUAAUUCGAUGAUACGCGAGGAACCUUACCCGGGCUUAAAUUGCAACCGAAUUAUCCGGAAACGGGUAAGCCGCAAGGCGGUUGUGAAGGUGCUGCAUGGUUGUCGUCAGCUCGUGCCGUGAGGUGUCGGCUUAAGUGCCAUAACGAGCGCAACCCUUAUCCACAGUUGCCAUCAGGUUAUGCUGGGGACUCUGUGGAGACUGCCGUCGUAAGAUGCGAGGAAGGGGGGGAUGACGUCAAAUCAGCACGGCCCUUACGUCCGGGGCUACACACGUGUUACAAUGGGGGGUACAGCAGGCUGCUGGGCGGCGACGUCCGGCGAAUCCCUAAAUCCCCUCUCAGUUCGGACUGGAGUCUGCAACCCGACUCCACGAAGCUGGAUUCGCUAGUAAUCGCGCAUCAGCCACGGCGCGGUGAAUACGUUCCCGGGCCUUGUACACACCGCCCGUCAAGCCAUGAAAGCCGGGGGUACCUGAAGUGCGUAACCGUUUAGGAGCGCCCUAGGGUAAAACCGGUGAUUGGGGCUAAGUCGUAA